ACACACAGCCUCGUGGUAGCAGCUUUACCCCCUGCCUCUAUGACUAUGGGAUGAAAUAUGGGAUAAAAAGAUUACUAUCAUUUACACUACGAUUUCAACUGUGCAAAAAAUUGGACAUUAGAUGCAUCUUGACAUAACUGGAGCCUCCGAAGAUAUCCUCGAUGAAGAUCUUCCCCCAAGUCCUGAGGAUAUGCCACAGCAAAGUGAAAAGGAGCUGAAACAAAUUCAGAAGGAGGCUAAGAAACAGGAGGAUGUUUCUGGUAGUUCGCUGUGGCACAUGGGAGAGCGGACCAGUCCCUGGCAAAUGGGCCACUCACGAGAGUUUUCGGAAUCCCUUUUUAAGGAUAAAAAUUACAAGCAGAAAUUUGGGAAGCACGAACGGGACUCUAAAGUGGCUGUGCCUUUACCUCUGCAAGAAUUGAUGGAGGAAGAAGUCUUGACAAUCUUAAAGGCAACCCUGCUCUCUUAUCAGAGGAAACUUGGGGUGAAUCACCCUCUCACGGAACAGAUGGAGCAACAGGUGGACAAACUUCACCUGCAGCUACAAGGAAGAGGAAUAAUCUGAGCCCCAAAUCCAGACUCGGAAGGAUCACCCCCCCCACACACACACUUCUCCGUCUCUCUCGGGGAGCCCCCUCCCCGCCCGGUCUCAAUGCUGCAACCUCCCCCCAAACUGAGAAGUUAAAAAAAAGUAAAUUUAGCUUUUUUUAAAAAAUAAAAAUAAAAAUCAGCCUGUUCUCUCUUUUGUCAAUGAAAGUCUCGCCGUUUUAUCCAAGUAUUUUUUUAAGCUUGGCCACUCAGAGUUGGGUGGACUUCAACUCCCAGGAUUCCCCAGUCAGCAGGCUUUAAGAUGGGUGGACUCUCCUCCUCCUCCUCCAACUCCCUUCUAGCACUGAUGAUGUUACCUAGCUGGGUCUUGAAAUGUCUGCAAGAAAAGAACCCAGCUCAGAGAGCACCAGGGAGCCCACAAUCCUUUUUCUCUUUCUCUCUUUCCUUCUUCUUCCACCUCCUUCUCCCUCCUCCUCCUCCUCUUCUUCUCCUUCCUCCUCUUCUUCCAUCUAGUCUAAUGAAGGACCAGGGGAGACAGGAUAGCAGUCUUCCAGUAUUUUGAGGGGCUGCCCCAGAGAGGAGGAAGGGUUCAAGUUGUUUUCUAAAGCACCUGAAGGCCAGACAAGGAAGAAUGGAUGGAAACUGAACACGGAGAGAUUCAACCUGGAAAUAAGGAGGAAUUUUCUGACAGGGAGGACAAUCAACUGAUGGAACAGAAGUUGCCUUCAGAAGUUGUGGGAGCUUCGUCCCUGGAAGCUUUCAAGAAGAGACUGGACUGCCCUCUGUCAAAAAUGGUGUAGGGUCUCCUGCUUGGGCAGGGGGUUGGACUAGAUGACCUACAAGGUCCCUUCCAACUCUGUUAUUUUGUCGUCUUCUUCUUCUUCUUCUUCUUCUUCUUCUUCUUCUUCUUCUUCUUCUUCUUCUUCUUCUUCUUCUUCUUCUCCUCCUCCUCCUCCUCCUCCUCCUCCUCCUCCUCCUCCUCCCAAAACAAACUCCCUUCUAGCACUGAUGAUGUUACCUAGUUGGGUCAAGAAACGUCUGCAAGAAAACCACCGAGCUCAGAGACACCGCUUGUUUCAACCCUGAGCUACAAAUAUUCCCCUUUGCCUUUCCUUCUGUCCCCCUGCUGCCCCACAACACCCCUCUGAAACACACAACCACUUUUCCCUUCCUACAUUCACGUUGCCAAUCAAACCACGUGGGCAUUGCCUGGCCAGGGGCUGUUUCUGGCAAAGCACCGUAGCUUCUUUGCACUUUAUUCAUCCUUCAGCUGGCUCCGUUUCAGCACGGCCGAGCCUCCAAAAUGGCCUGAGAUUUUCCUUCCUCGAAGAAUCUACCACUGGCAGCACCCCACAAUUCAGACCUAGAUCACUUCUAAAGAAAGUCUCGGGGGGGCAAACUGGCCCAGAAUCCACGUGCCAGGAUUGCUGAUCCCAUCCCACAAAGGGAAAAAUGCCUCUGAUCAUGGGCAGGCUGCCAAUCUCAUGCCCCAAAUCUCUCGAAGAUGAAUUUUCUCGACAGUGAGGACUAGACUCCUG
ensembl:lncRNA